CUGGUGCCGGAGAGAUCCGGUGAAAAGGGAAUCGAGUGCAAAUCUCGAACGAACUCGUCACUGUGAGCAGGGAGGGCUGCCAUAGGCUGUAAAAAGCCGGUCACUGGAAAUGGGAAGGCGGCAGCCUUCAAAGCUGUAAGCCAGGAGACCUGCCAGGAGCGG
rnacentral:ncRNA from 1 species